UCACUCGUUCCUCUCCUUCCCUCACAACCGCCUUACCCCACCCGCUGUCGCCGUCGAUCCAGCUUGUCGCCUCAACCCUCCACCGAUUUGGCCUCCCUCUCUCCUCCACGACCUACCUUUCGCCUCCCACCCCCAACCAACAACCCUUCACCUCCUACCCCCAACUGAUGACAACAAUGGAAGAUCUAGCGGCAACAAUGGAAGCUCCAACGGUAGCAGAUCGGGCGGUAGCAAUGGUAGUAAAUCGGGCGGCAGAUCCAACUCUGUUGGGCAUUUCACAUGAGUUUUCCGUUGAGUAUGGUUUGGGCUGGGUUUUCCGGUGGGUUUGGACUGUUUUUGGGUUGGGUUUACCGGAUGCGGUGUUUGGUGGUGGCGCUGGGUUUGGUGGUUGGGUGGUUAUUUUCUUCUUCCUUCUUCUUAUUUUGGCGCGCUGGAUUUUUGUAAAGGUUUGGGAAGAGAAGUAGUUUGAUAGAGGAGAGAGAAAAAAAGAAUAAAAAAAUAUUUUACACAUGAACAGUAACCAUGUAUAUAUACACAGUUACUAUUAGGAGUGAGCAAAUAAAUACCAGAGCCGACCCAACCGAUCGGCGCCGACGACACCGUCCCGACACCAGCGCCGACUGAAUGAGCCGAGGCUGGCGUUUGGAGGGCGAAGCCCGUUCCGACGCCGGUGCGGUGCAGUCACCGGAUCAAAGAAGGCGAAACCGAUCCACACCGAUACCAAACCCAAUAUUUGUUUCUCCCUACAAUUUGGAUACAAUGUUGUUCACAGGUUCUGAUUAAUUUUUUUUUUUUUUUUUUAAUGAAAUGACGUUGUAUGGGUGUGAUUAAAAACAAAAAAAACAAAAGCAAAAGCAAAACGAUGCAUUUUAUGCUAGGUUUUCAGAUUCUUAAGGCCAUAUAAAUUCAUUCUUUUGUCCUGAUAUCCUUUAACUCUCUCUCUCUUGCUCUCGCCUCUUAGACUCGCCUGACGCAGUGACGCUUGCCUAAGCUCUCGCUUGAGCUCUCGCCGUCGCUCACCAGUCACGGCAAACCAACGAUAAGCAUGAAUGAUUCUUAAUCUCAUGUACUUCAUAGUUUUUUGGGGUUGUAAAAUAUAGUACAAUGGGUUUUAGGCUUGUAAGAGAAGUGAAGUUUAUGAUUUUGAUUUAUUGGUGAGAGCUUGUGUUUGUGUUUGUGUCUGUAUUUGUCUUUGUGUUUGCGAGUGAUUCAGAGUUUUUUGUAUUUGGUGAGGUUCUGAGUGUCGUGUGCACUGUGUAUCAUAAGCAUAAAAUAAAUGACUUUGUGUUUGUGUUUGACUUUAGUCCCACUUAAGCACUUACUUUAAUAUGUCUUUGUAUUUCUGAGUUUUGUAUGUAUUUGUCUUUGUGUUUGCGAGUAAUUUAAUAUAUCCUUGGAUCAUUACUAUUUGGCUGAACAAAUUUGUUGAAUAGUGGUUUUUUUUUUUUUUUUUUUUUUUU